CCUACGGGAGGCAGCAGUGGGGAAUCUUGGACAAUGGGGGAAACCCUGAUCCAGCGACGCCGCGUGAGGGACGAAGCCCUUCGGGGUGUAAACCUCUUUCAGCGGGGAAGACGCCCGACGGUACCCGCAGAAGAAGUCACGGCCAACUACGUGCCAGCAGCCGCGGUAAUACGUAGGUGGCGAGCGUUACUCGGAGUCACUGGGCGUAAAGCGUGUGUAGGCGGUCCCGCAAGUCCGGAGUGAAAUCUUCCGGCUAAACCGGAAAAACGCCCGGAAACUGCGGGGCUCGAGGGCGGGAGAGGAGAGCGAAAUUCCCGGUGUAGCGGUGAAAUGCGUUGAGAUCGGGAGGAACGCCGGUGGUGAAGACGGCUCUCUGGACCGCAUCUGACGCUGAGACACGAAAGCGGGGGGAGCAAACAGGAUUAGAUCCCCUUGUAGU
rnacentral:rRNA from 1 species